rnacentral:rRNA from 1 species
GACGAACGCUGGCGGCGUGCUUAACACAUGUAAGUCGAACGGUGAAGCUCCAGCUUGCUGGAGUGGAUCAGUGGCGAACGGGUGAGUAACACGUGAGCAACCUGCCCCUGACUCUGGAAUAAGCGCUGGAAACGGCGUCUAAUACUGGAUACGAGAAGGGUCCGCAUGGGCACUUUCUGGAAAGUUUUUCGGUUGGGGAUGGGCUCGCGGCCUAUCAGCUUGUUGGUGAGGUAAUGGCUCACCAAGGCGACGACGGGUAGCCGGCCUGAGAGGGCGACCGGCCACACUGGGACUGAGACACGGCCCAGACUCCUACGGGAGGCAGCAGUGGGGAAUAUUGCACAAUGGGCGAAAGCCUGAUGCAGCGACGCCGCGUGAGGGAUGACGGCCUUCGGGUUGUAAACCUCUUUCAGCAGGGAAGAAGCGAAAGUGACGGUACCUGCAGAAGAAGCACCGGCUAACUACGUG